rnacentral:rRNA from 1 species
AGUGAACGCUGGCGGUAGGCCUAACACAUGCAAGUCGAACGGCAGCACAGUAAGAGCUUGCUCUUACGGGUGGCGAGUGGCGGACGGGUGAGGAAUACAUCGGAAUCUACUUUUUCGUGGGGGAUAACGUAGGGAAACUUACGCUAAUACCGCAUACGACCUACGGGUGAAAGCAGGGGAUCUUCGGACCUUGCGCGAUUGAAUGAGCCGAUGUCGGAUUAGCUAGUUGGCGGGGUAAAGGCCCACCAAGGCGACGAUCCGUAGCUGGUCUGAGAGGAUGAUCAGCCACACUGGAACUGAGACACAGUCCAGACUCCUACGGGAGGCAGCAGUGGGGAAUAUUGGACAAUGGGCGCAAGCCUGAUCCAGCCAUACCGCGUGGGUGAAGAAGGCCUUCGGGUUGUAAAGCCCUUUUGUUGGGAAAGAAAAGCAGCAGGUUAAUACCCCGCUGUUCUGACGGUACCCAAAGGAUAAGCACCGGCUAACUUCGUG